UUGAACUUUGAAACUUUUCCGACCGGCAAUAAAUCUAAUUGCCAAAUGCCAGUUGAAUUUUCCAAAAGCCAACGGAAAAUAUCAAGUGAAAUGAAAUAAAUAAACUGAACAAAUCUCACCUGUGGUUUCAACGUGCUGCCGUCUCCGGCAGACCUUACAAAAUGUUUUAAGACGGGUUUUUUGAGCUAACCAAUACCUGGUUACUUUAUAUCCUCUUUUUUUUUUAUUAUAUAAUAUGGGAAAAUGUGUUUUACAAAGACUAAAGUUCAGCUCUUAACUAGGGAAAGUCAGGCAAAAGGAAGUAUUCUUGUAAGGCCUUUAAGAAUUCUUUUUUCUAGCAAAAAAAUCGUGAGUGUAACUUCUGUAAGAUUGUCUACUGUAUACCCCCCUUAAGCCUCUCUUUUACAGGGUAUUUUUUUUUCUGGAAACAAGCUCGAAGUAACUGAGGAGGAAACGUGUAGCGGACAAUCCAAGCAACCGCAUUGGACGACAGCGACAACGAACCUUCUCAGACACUGUGUCAACAAUGUCUGACGAAUUGUCAAAAACCGCAAAAUGCGGUCUUGUUGUUGCUGUUAGUGUUGUUGUUGUUGUUGUUGUUGCUGUCGGUGACAAUGUGAACGAGCAGCAAGGACGAACAGGAUGCAAACUCAAACACACAUACACCCACAAAACGGAACUUGCGACAGGAUAGUGCGGACAAUUUGCGGGUGAAAAUUCGUAAGCUUUUCUAGUUUUUUUUUGGCUAUAUUUUAUUGUUAUCAUUUCUAUGUACGCAUCGCCUGCCAGCGACAAUAAAGCAUGAAUUUGGCGAGGAUACGUUAUUCGGCGGAUACGUGGCUCUAAAAAAUUUGUCAACGAGCUUAAGGCCAACGAGCAGCGAACAGUGAGCAGCUACCACUUGACAAUGCGUUUUUGGAAAAUUUCUCACUAACUUUGCCUAUUAAUGCUGUUUUUACAGUUGGAUGGAAAUGGUGUUGGUAUGGAAAUAACGUGUAAGGAAGCCUAAAAUCAUUUUAGUGGAUGGGCUACUGUAAUGGUUAUUUGUUGUUGCCACACCCGACUCUGCCACAGCCACGUUUUUAACCACUUU